UUUCUCUUCAACGUCAUCAGUAGAAGAGAACAUCAGCAUGUAUGCGGUGCAUAGUCAAGCAUCUUUAAAAGGGUCAAUCUAUUUCUACUAGUACAUCUGGAUUGUGGUACCAGUAUAGGUACAAAAUACAGUAUAAAAAUUUGAAGAAAAAUUUUGAUUAUAUAGAAGAGAAAAAGAGAAAGAAAAAUAGGUUGUUGGAACACUUGCAUUUCUCUUCAAGGUCAUCAGUAGAAGAGAACAUCACUAUGUAUGAGGUGCAUAGUCAAGCAUCCUUCAAAAAGGUCAAUCUAUUUCUACCGGUACAUCUAGAUUGUGGUACCAAUAUAGGUACAAAAUACAGUAUAAAAAUUUGAAGAAAAAUUUUGAUGAUAUAGGAGAGAAAAAGAGAAAGAAAAAUAGGUUGUUGGAACACUUGCAUUUCUCUUCAAGGUCAUCAGUAAAAGAGAACAUCAUCAUGCAAGCGGUGCAUAGUCAAGCAUCCUUAAAAGGGCCAAUCUACUUCUACUUAUGACACCAUAAAACACAAGAAAGAAGAUUCGUAAGUACAAAAACUGGCCAAACAAACAGGAAAUCUUGGACAUUAACUGAGCCAGACUAGAACUCACAAGGAAUCUUUGGUUUAAGCUUUUUGACAAGCAAAUCUGACAGUACUAUCUACAACAUUGCAUGCUCUCAUCCACAAUAAAAACAAAUUCGCUAUUUCAUUGUAGUCACCUUUUAUAUGGUAUUUUAUGAGAUUAUGACGAUGGCUGUGCAGGCAUGAUAAAAAAGGAGAUUCUAUAACAUUCUAACUUAAAGAAAACUNNNN
rnacentral:lncRNA from 1 species